rnacentral:rRNA from 1 species
AGCACCGGCGGACGGCUCAGUAACACGUGGACAACCUACCCUCGGGUGGGGGAUAACCUCGGGAAACUGAGGCUAAUACCCCAUAGGUCUCAGGUACUGGAAGGUCCUGAGACUGAAAGCUCCGGCGCCCGAGGAUGGGUCUGCGGCCUAUCAGGUAGUUGGUGGUGUAAAGGACCACCAAGCCUACGACGGGUACGGGCCCUGAGAGGGGUAGCCCGGAGAUGGACUCUGAGACACGAGUCCAGGCCCUACGGGGCGCAGCAGGCGCGAAACCUUCGCAAUGCGCGAAAGCGCGACGAGGGGAGCCCGAGUGCCCUUCCUUUUGGGAGGGCUUUUCCGGAGUCUAAAAAGCUCCGGGAAUAAGGGCUGGGCAAGACGGGUGCCAGCCG